rnacentral:misc_RNA from 1 species
AAAUGCGAUAAGUAAUGUGAAUUGCAGAAUUCAGUGAAUCAUCGAAUCUUUGAACGCACAUUGCGCUCGCCAGUAUUCUGGCGAGCAUGCCUGUUCGAGCGUCAUUUCAACCAUCAAGCUCUGCUUGCGUUGGGGAUCCGCGGCUGCCCGCGGUCCCUCAAAAACAGUGGCGGGCUCGCUAGUCACACCGAGCGUAGUAACUCUACAUCGCUAUGGUCGUGCGGCGGGUUCUUGCCGUAAAACCCCCAACUUCUAAGGUUGACCUCGGAUCAGGUAGGAAUACCCGCUGAACUUAAGC